AUGAAGUUUAUUCAUUCUUUUCACCCUCCGCGAUGAAAUGCUGUGUGUGCGGGAUGUUUAAUCUUUACUACAAGGACGGUUAGUGUUAUUAAAAAAUACAACCAAUAUAUGACUUCCGCCGACCCCGGCGAUUUUUUAAAAUUUAAAACAAGCAGCUGGUUCGAACUUAUAACACGUUGCUGACAGGUGUUAAAAUAAGGUGUCUUCUGUUUUUUUUCUCUCUCUCUCUCUAUCGCUCUCUCUCUCUCUCUCUCUGUGUGUCUAGCUGUCUUGCUAGCUAGCUAGAUAAAUAGACCGAAAGCUAGUUAGCUAAAUUUCUUGAUAGCCAACAUGUUAUCAAGCUAGCUAGUUAGAUAAAUAGAUAGAAAGCUACUUAUCAAUCUUUCUUGAUAGCCAACAUUUUAUUUAUUUAUCUAGCUAGCUAGCU